rnacentral:snRNA from 1 species
ACACUUAGUUGUUCUCCAGAGCCCAGUCAGGAAAGUGGUCUUUCCAGGGCCAGGUCUAGCCACUGAGUUCUAUAUGUGCUGACCCCUGCAAUAUCCCCAAAUGUGAGAGACUUCAUAAUUUACGGAGUGGGGGCUCUGUGUUUGCGCUCUCCUGUU